AACGAACGCUGGCGGCAGGCUUAACACAUGCAAGUCGAACGCCCCGCAAGGGGAGUGGCAGACGGGUGAGUAACGCGUGGGAACAUACCCUUUCCUGCGGAAUAGCUCUGGGAAACUGGAAUUAAUACCGCAUAUGCCCUACGGGGGAAAGAUUUAUCGGGGAAGGAUUGGCCCGCGUUGGAUUAGCUAGUUGGUGGGGUAAAGGCCUACCAAGGCGACGAUCCAUAGCUGGUCUGAGAGGAUGAUCAGCCACAUUGGGACUGAGACACGGCCCAAACUCCUACGGGAGGCAGCAGUGGGGAAUAUUGGACAAUGGGCGCAAGCCUGAUCCAGCCAUGCCGCGUGAGUGAUGAAGGCCUUAGGGUUGUAAAGCUCUUUCACCGAUGAAGAUAAUGACGGUAGUCGGAGAAGAAGCCCCGGCUAACUUCGUGCCAGCAGCCGCCGUAAGAC
rnacentral:rRNA from 1 species